rnacentral:rRNA from 1 species
UACGUAGGGGGCAAGCGUUGUCCGGAUUUAUUGGGCGUAAAGAGCGUGUAGGCGGCCAUACAGGUCAGCUGUGAAAACUCGAGGCUCAACCUCGAGACGUCGGUUGAAACCGUAUGGCUAGAGUCCGGAAGAGGAGAGUGGAAUUCCCGGUGUAGCGGUGAAAUGCGCAGAUAUCGGGAAGAACACCCGUGGCGAAGGCGGCUCUCUGGGACGGUACUGGACGCGUGAGACGCGAAAGCGUGGGGAGCGAACAGG